CCUACGGGAGGCAGCAGUGGGGAAUAUUGGACAAUGGGGGCAACCCUGAUCCAGCCAUGCCGCGUGUGUGAAGAAGGCCCUCGGGUUGUAAAGCACUUUCAGUGAGGAAGAACGCCUGGUGGUUAAUACCCAUCAGGAAAGACAUCACUCACAGAAGAAGCACCGGCUGAACUCCGUGCCAGCAGCCGCGGUAAUACGGAGGGUGCGAGCGUUAAUCGGAAUUACUGGGCGUAAAGCGCGCGUAGGUGGCUUGAUAAGCCGGUUGUGAAAGCCCCGGGCUCAACCUGGGAACGGCAUCCGGAACUGUCAAGCUAGAGUGCAGGAGAGGAAGGUAGAAUUCCCGGUGUAGCGGUGAAAUGCGUAGAGAUCGGGAGGAAUACCAGUGGCGAAGGCGGCCUUCUGGACUGACACUGACACUGAGGUGCGAAAGCGUGGGUAGCAAACAGGAUUAGAUACCCUGGUAGUC
rnacentral:rRNA from 1 species